AUUGAACGCUGGCGGCAUGCCUUACACAUGCAAGUCGAACGGCGGCACGGGUGCUUGCACCUGGUGGCGAGUGGCGAACGGGUGAGUAAUACAUCGGAACGUACCUUAUCGUGGGGGAUAACGCAGCGAAAGCUGUGCUAAUACCGCAUACGCCCUGAGGGGGAAAGCGGGGGAUCGCAAGACCUCGCGCGAUUAGAGCGGCCGAUGCCUGAUUAGCUUGUUGGUGGGGUAAAAGCCCACCAAGGCGACGAUCAGUAGCUGGUCUGAGAGGACGAUCAGCCACACUGGGACUGAGACACGGCCCAGACUCCUACGGGAGGCAGCAGUGGGGAAUUUUGGACAAUGGGGGCAACCCUGAUCCAGCAAUGCCGCGUGAGUGGAGAAGGCCUUCGGGUUGUAAAGCUCUUUUGUCAGGGAAGAAACACCGGCUCUAACACAGUCCGGGAAUGACGGUACCUGAAGAAUAAGCACCGGCUAACUACGUGCCAGCCGCCGCGGUAA
rnacentral:rRNA from 1 species